rnacentral:rRNA from 1 species
GAUGAACGCUAGCGGGAGGCCAAACACAUGCAAGCCGAGCGGUAUUGUUUCUUCGGAAAUGAGAGAGCGGCGUACGGGUGCGGAACACGUGUGCAACCUGCCUUUAUCUGGGGGAUAGCCUUUCGAAAGGAAGAUUAAUACUCCAUAAUAUAUUGAUUGGCAUCAAUUAAUAUUGAAAGCUCCGGCGGAUAGAGAUGGGCACGAGCAAGAUUAGCUAGUUGGUGAGGUAACGGCUCACCAAGGCGAUGAUAUUUAGGGGGCCUGAGAGGGUGAUUCCCCAGACUGGUACUGGGAAACGGACCAGACUCCUACUGGAGGCAGCAGUGAGGAAUAUUGGUCAAUGGGUGCAAGCCUGAACCAGCCAUCCCGCGUGAAGGACGACUGCCCUAUGGGUUGUAAACUUCUUUUGUAUAGGGAUAAUCCUACCCUCGUGAGGGUAGCUGAAGGUACUAUACGAAUAAGCACCGGCUAACUCCGUGCCAGCCGCCGCGGUAACAC